AUUGAACGCUGGCGGCAGGCCUAACACAUGCAAGUCGAACGAGGGGCGGACGGGUGUGUAAUGUCUGGGAAACUGCCUGAUGGAGGGGGAAAAAUACUGGAAACGGUCGAUAAUACCGCAUAACCCCCGAUGUGCCCAGGUGGGAUUAGCUAGGUGGUGGGGUAACGGCUCACCAGGGCGAAGAUCCCUAGCUGGUCUGAGAGGAUGACCAGCCACACUGGAACUGAGACACGGUCCAGACUCCUACGGGAGGCAGCAGUGGGGAAUAUGGCACAAUGGGCGCAAGCCUGAUGCAGCCAUGCCGCGUGUAUGAAGAAGGCCUUCGGGUUGUAAAGUACUUUCAGCGGGGAGGCGUUACCCGCAGAAGAAGCACCGGCUAACUCCGUGCCAGCAGCCGCGGUAAUAC
rnacentral:rRNA from 1 species